UACGGAGGGAGCUAGCGUUGUUCGGAAUUACUGGGCGUAAAGCGCACGUAGGCGGCUUUGUAAGUUAGAGGUGAAAGCCCGGGGCUCAACUCCGGAAUUGCCUUUAAGACUGCAUCGCUAGAAUUGUGGAGAGGUAAGUGGAAUUCCGAGUGUAGAGGUGAAAUUCGUAGAUAUUCGGAAGAACACCAGUGGCGAAGGCGACUUACUGGACACAUAUUGACGCUGAGGUGCGAAAGCUAGGGGAGCAAACAGG
rnacentral:rRNA from 1 species